CUAAAACGCUGUCGUAUUAUUUGGAAGCAAAAAUCGCACAUUCUGGAUUCCUCGUUGCUGGAUGGGUUUUGAACUUUCCCUUCUGCCUCUCCGUUAUCAUUUUACCUCUGCCAGGGUUUUACAGAAAAAACCCCUCUUUUUCUUUAGAAGCAUGGGGUCUUUGGCUAAAGUACACUGCCGUCUCCAAUCUCCCCACCUUUCUUUCAAUCACUGCCGUCCAUCCUUCUCUAAACCCAUCUUCUCUCUCUCCUUCAGGACUUCACCCUCAUCAUCUCCGUUCAAAUUUUCUUCCAUCAGAGCUUCAUCUUCCCCAUCCUCCUCCUCCUCAGCUCCACUCUAUGAAACCCCCAAACCAUCCCUUUUCCAAACGCUGACCCCACUCCUCAAAGCCACUUGCAUUACCAUUACCGCCGCUGCCGCGCUCUUCUUCACUCGCUUCCACCAAAAACCCGUACUCGCCUCCCCAACGGUAACGCCCACAGCAGAGCCCAUCUCAACGGACACGAAUAUCUCCUUAGAAGAUCAAGAAAAAACCAUCGAAGAACACUUAAUUCAGUACCCCAAUGACGUUGAAGCUCUGCGGUCUCUCAUGGAGGUUCGGAUCAAAUCAAAGAAACUCCAACAAGCUAUCGAAGUUAUUGGCCGCUUGAUCGAGCUCGAACCCAAAGAAACCGAAUGGUCUAUGUUAAAAGCCCAAAUCCAUAGCUACAGUGGCGAUUUCGAGCUAGCCAAGAACGAGUUCGAAGAAAUAUUAGUUAAAGACCCGGUUCGGGUCGAGGCUUUUCACGGCCUUGUGAUCGCUUAUUCUGAGUCGGGCCAAAAAUUGAAAGAACUGGAAAAAAGAAUUGAAGGGGCAAUGGAGAAGUGCAAGAAGGAGAAGAGAAAUAAAGACUUUAGGGAUUUUAAGCUAUUGAUUGCGCAAAUUCGGGUAAUUGAAGGGAACCAUUCUGAAGCUUUGAAGGUUUAUGAGGGUUUGGUUAAGGAAGAGCCAAGGGAUUUUCGGCCAUACUUGUGUAUGGGGCUUAUUUACUCUUUAUUGAAUAAGAAAGAUGAGGCUGAGAAGCAGUUUGAAAAGUUUACAAAACUUCUUCCUAGGAAUCACCCUUAUAGGGAGUUCUUUGUUGAUAACAUGGUGGCGACGAAGCUUUUCGCCGAAAAAGUUGCGAGGGAAGGCGCGGGGAAGAGUUGAGGGACAUGUGGUUUGUUUGUUAUCAGAGGUGAAGAUUGGUGGUUUUUACAAAGAGGUGCAUGUGAAACAUGUGCUUUAUGUGCAUAUGAAAUUGGAAGUUGCUGAAGGAAUUCUUGCACAACAACAACAACACUAAGCCUAAUAUCCCAUACUCUGGGAUCGGUUAUAUGAAAAAUCAAAUAAGAGACUUAUGUUACGUUGUAGUUUGAAUCUUCUUAUGCCACUCAUUUCUAUCAAUAACAACCUUUUGAUCUAAUUCCUUAACUAUCAUAUCGUUUUUUAUUACUUGCAUCCAUGUUUUUCUUAGUCUACCUCUAGAUGUUUUGAUUUCUCCUAGAUCUAUAGACUCAAUUCUCCUAACCAUUGUAUAGCUAAGCCUACAUUUCACAUGUCCAAACCAUUACAAACGGCCUUCUCUUAUUUUCUCUUCAAUUUGGACUACCCCUAAUUUUUCUCAAAUCUCUUCAUAUUUAAUUGUCUCUUCGAAUCCUACCACACAUCCAUCUAAGCAUCAUCAUCUGCACUAUGUUUAUUUUCUUCUCAUGUUGUUUCUUAAUAGCCAAACACUCAAUUCCAUAUAGCAAUGCAGGCCUUGCUGUUGUUUUAUUCAACUAUGCUUUUAACUUUAAAGGCAAGUUGCGAUCACACAACAUACCUGAUGCACUUUGUCACCUUGCCCAUCCUACUUGAAUCUUAUACUUGACAUUUGCUUUUAUCUCAGUAUCACUCUGAAUAAUUGAUCCAAAAUAUCGAAAUUGGCUAUUCUUUGUUACUACCUCACCAUCCAACUUAAUCAUAUUAGUACCUGUUUCCCUUUGAUUACUAAACUUGCAUUCUAUAUAUUCAAUUUUAGAUCUACUUAAUUUAAAACCUUGAGAUUCCAAUGUACUCCUCCAUAAUUCUAAUUUCGCAUUAAGGUCAUCUCAAGUUUCACCAACUAAGAGUAUAUCAUCGGCAAAUAACAUACACCAUGGUACCUUGUCUUGGAUACAUCCAGUGGACUUAUCCAUAACUAAUGCAAAAAGGAAAGGAUUUAGUGUUGAGCAUUGAUGUAAUCCUAAGGUAAUGGGGAAGCGAUUUGUCAUGCCCUUAAACGUACUCACAUUUGUUACCACUCUUUCAUACAUAUCUUUAAUUAUGUUGAUGUAUUUUACAGGGAUUUUUUUCUUCAUUAAGGCCCACCAAAGCACCUUUCAAGGAACUCUAUCGUAUGCUUUCUCCAAGUUGAUAAAUGCCAUAUAUAGAUUUUUUUUCUCACUAGAAAACCCUCCAAUAAAAGCUUUAAAAAGUGGAGCCCUUCUGUUGUGGAGCGUCCUGGCAUAAACCCAAAUUGGUUUGCACAAAUAGUGAUCUCAUAUCGCAACAUACAUUCAAUUAUUCUCUUCCAAAGUUUCAUAGUAUGACUUAUAAGUUUUUUUUCUUGAUAGUUCAAACAAUCUUGUAUAUCACCUUUAUUAUGGUAUAAAGGCAUAAGAGUGCUUUUUCUCCAUUCUUUUGGCAUUUUUUGGGUAUGCCAAAUUUUGUUGAAAAGAUCCGUCAACCAUCCUGUCAUUAUUUCACCUAAGCAUUUUCAGACUUCAAUCGAGAUUCCAUAUGGUCCUACAGCUUUCUUUGAUCUCAUUAUUCUCAAAGCCUUUUUAAUCUCGUAGCUUUUAAUAUUACGUUUAAACACACGAUUUACAUCAUAAGAAGGUAUUUUUGACCCACCUAAAUCGUGCUCAAAACUGCUAUUAAAAAUAUUAUCAAAAUAAUCUCUUCAUCUCUUUUUAAUCUUUUCAUCAUUCAUUAAAUCUCUUCCAUAAUUGCUAUUAAUGCAUCUAACACUAUUAAAAUCCCUACUGUUUUUAUCUUUCAUCUUAGCAAUUUUGAACAACUUUUUUUCUCCGUCUCUUGUCUCUAGUUUUCUAUAUAACUCCUCAUGGAUCUUACUCUUUGAGUUUUGAAUAGCCUUUUUAGUCUCAUUUUUUGUUGUCUUAUUCUUUAGAUAACUCUCUUCAUCCUUAUUGUUCCAUAAAUUUUUAUAACACUUUCGCUUAGCUUUAAUUGCCAUUUUCACAUCCUUGUUCCACCACUAAGAGUCCUUUCCUAAUGGUGCCCUACCCAUAAAUUCGUCAAGUGUCUCUUUAGCAACCGUUUGAAUUUUGGCUGUAAUAUUUUUCCACAUUACUUCUAUACCUUCAUCAGGCUUCCAAUCAACUUUUCGUACUAGUCUAUCCCUAAACGUUACCAUUUUGUCCCCCUUCAAGUUCUACCAUUUAAUACGUGGUUUAUGACUCUGAUGUCUUUUCUUUAACCCCUUAAGGUGGAAUAGAUCGAGUACUAAUAGUCUAUGUUGUGUUGCCACAUUCUCACAUGGUAUAACACUACUUCUAUCCUUUUUUCUCGUAAAAAAGAAAUCAAUUUGGCUAGCAUUUGAUCCACUCCUAAAUGUUACUAAGUGUAAUUCCCUUUUCCUAAAACACGUGUUUAAUAUAGUUAGGUCAAAUGCAGUAGCAAACUCUUGGAUAGUCUCUUCGAUAUCAUUUUUCUCCAAAGACAUAUCCUCCGUGUACCAUCUCAAAGUCAUUACCAUCCUUGCCUACGUGAUUAUUCAUAUCUCCUCUGAUAAAUAGUUUUUCUCUAUGUGGUAUGGCUCGCACUAUCUCAUAUAAAUUUUCCCAAAAUUUUUGCUUACUCUCUUGAUUCAAACCUAUUUGCUGGGUGUAAGCACUAAGGAAGUUAACAGUAACCUCUUCUAAAAUAAGUUUAACAAGUAAAAUUCUAUCUCCUUUUCUUUUAAUCUCAACUAUAUCAUCCUCAAAUUCUUAUUUACAAUUAUCCACACUCCAUUUCUGCUUCUUUCCUUCCUUGUGUACCAAAGUUUAGAGUCCCAUGUUUCUAUCUCUCUAGCCUUUUCCGUUACCCACUUAGUUUCUUGGAGACACAUAAUAUUAAUUCCUUUUCUAGUCAUUGCAUCUCCAAUCUCGACAAACUUACCAGUUAAUGAUCUUAUAUUUCAAGCGUCUAAGCGUAAUUUACCCCUAUGGACUAGCUUUUUUACUUGUGUUUGUCCACCAAAACAUGAGAACCCUUGUCUAUUUGACAUUGCACCCGGGCGGUGAUACGGGGCGUUGCUUCCAGGUGACGACCUACUAACCCUUGCACAUUUAACUCUACAUCCGGGUUUCGAUGUACAAUCCAAUGAGAAUUCUUAUCUUGGUCUUUCAUCAUGGUUUGACUUGUGUAAAACAUUAUUUGAGUUUGAACUCACUGCUUUGGAUCACAGCCAUGUAUGCUUAUAUUGGGACAAGUUUGUACCAAGAUUUAGUUGCUAUGGACAUUUAGAUUUUUAUCUUUUUUUUCUGCCUUACCUUUCUAAUAAAAAUAGAUAUGAUGGUUAAGAAAUUAGAUGAAAAGGUAGUUGUUAAUAGAAAUGAGUGGCGCAACAACUUAAACUUGAUUAUCUUAUUUGGUUUUUCAUACAACUGACCCAGAGUAUGGGAUAUAAGACUUAAUAUGUUAUUGUUGUUGUUUUUUUACCUUACCUUUCAUAUUUUCCUCUCUUUUGCACCUUGGGCUUGCUAGUGGCCAAGUAACUUCUAGUGCUGUAAAUAUAAAGGGCCAAUACCAUCUAGCUAAUGUUGUUAUGUGGUUCACGCUGAUGGUAUGUUCACAGAUUUGUUUGAUAUCUG